rnacentral:rRNA from 1 species
UCUUGCGCAAUGGGCGAAAGCCUGACGCAGCCAUGCCGCGUGAAUGAUGAAGGCCUUAGGGUUGUAAAGUUCUUUUACCUGUGACGAUGAUGACGGUAACAGGGGAAUAAGCUCCGGCUAACUUCGUGCCAGCAGCCGCGGUAAUACGAAGGGGGCUAGCGUUGUUCGGAAUUACUGGGCGUAAAGCGCGCGCAGGCGGUUCGAUAAGUUGGGGGUGAAAUCCCCGGGCUCAACCCGGGAAUGGCCUUCAAGACUGUCGAUCUAGAGGACGAGAGAGGUGAGUGGAAUUCCCAGUGUAGAGGUGAAAUUCGUAGAUAUUGGGAAGAACACCGGUGGCGAAGGCGGCUCACUGGCUCGUUUCUGACGCUGAGGCGCGAAAGCGUGGGGAGCAAACAGG